UACGAAGGGGGCUAGCGUUGCUCGGAAUCACUGGGCGUAAAGCGCACGUAGGCGGAUUGCUAAGUCAGGGGUGAAAUCCUGGAGCUCAACUCCAGAACUGCCCUUGAUACUGGCGGUCUCGAGUCCGGGAGAGGUGAGUGGAACUGCGAGUGUAGAGGUGAAAUUCGUAGAUAUCGGGUAGAACACCAGUGGCGAAGGCGGCAUCCUGGACCAUUACUGACACUGAAUAGCGAAAGCCAGGGGAGCAAACGGG
rnacentral:rRNA from 1 species